AUGCGAAGAUAUCGAUAGGCGAGACCCUAGAAGCGCUGAGAGGAAGGUAUUUUUUUGAACAGAGUGACAGGGCCAAAAUUUAAGGGGAAAGGUUAGCGAAGAGUGGCCACCUGGUCCUGGAGAGUAAGAGUUCCGCGCGCUCUCCGGAGCCGUUGUGAGAGGAUUUCCGAUCUCAUCCCAUAACGGAGUCCCGAAGCCAACUCUCCCACACCCAAAAGAAAAGAGAGCCGCCAGCAGCCCGAAUCAGGCCAUGCCCUUGAACCUAGUUCAAGGGCGAUAGAAGAGAGAGCGAUGGGGAUCGGCAGCCGGGAGCAUUAAACAGAACAGCCAAGAGGGGGUUCAGAAAAAAAAAUUCCCGCAACGGAGGAGCAUGCGCGCCGGACAUAGCGACUUAGCGAUUUUUUUUUGUUCUGAAAGAAAAAGGGAUCCAGAUCAGGGAAAGACCAGGAACCAGGACCAGGUAGCAUAAGAGGAAUAGGUCACAGCUCCGCCACCCUGGCUUGUUUUUCCUGCUGGUCUCGAAGGAACAGACCUGGCCACGUAGUGCGGGACCCUCGCCCACUUAGGGAGAAGAAAAAAAUCACAUCAACUUAUUUACUCCCAUUAAUUAUUUUUGUUAGACGUCUCCAGUUAUAAGUAUAUGUAAUUUAAGUCCGGCCAUAUUUAUUAUAUAUAUGUAACCUAUUUAUUUAUAUUUAUUAUAUUAUUUAUUCCUAUUAAUCUAAUUAUUUAUUAACCGCCAGUAGUACUAAGAUGAGGGGGGGAUGAAUAGGCAGGCCUAGUUUAGAAAUGAUAUCGUGUGAAAAUAGGAAAUGAAGUGAAAAUUAUAACGAAGAAAUGAA